rnacentral:rRNA from 1 species
UACGUAGGGUCCGAGCGUUGUCCGGAAUUAUUGGGCGUAAAGGGCUCGUAGGCGGUCUGUUGCGUCGGGAGUGAAAACUUACAGCUUAACUGUGAGCGUGCUUUCGAUACGGGCAGACUUGAGGCAUUCAGGGGAGAACGGAAUCCUGGUGUAGCGGUGAAAUGCGCAGAUAUCAGGAGGAACACCGGUGGCGAAGGCGGUUCUCGUGGGAAUGUCCUGACGCUGAGGAGCGAAAGUGUGGGGAGCGAACAGG